rnacentral:rRNA from 1 species
AGGAAGGUACGUGUAGUUAACACCUGCACUAUUUGACGUUACCUACAGAAGAAGCACCGGCUAACUCCGUGCCAGCAGCCGCGGUAAUACGGAGGGUGCGAGCGUUAAUCGGAAUUACUGGGCGUAAAAGCGCAUGCAGGCGGCCUGUUAAGUCAGAUGUGAAAAGCCCGGGCUUAAACCUCGGAAAUUGCAUUUGAAAACUGGCAGGCUAGAGUCUUGUAGAGGGGGUAGAAAUUUCAGGUGUAGCGGUGAAAAUGCGUAGAGAUCUGAAGGAAUACCAGUGGCGAAGGCGGCCCCUGGACAAAGACUGACGCUCAGAUGCGAAAGCGUGGGGAGCCAAACAGGAUUAGAUACCCUGGUAG